UCCGGUGGGCGCGGGCUGUCGCC
rnacentral:piRNA from 1 species